GGGGAAGCCUGGGUGGCUAGCUGCUCCAUCCGUGGAGUAAGCAGCUCAGGUUCGAAUCCCAUCGGGCGCAUCUUCGUUAGAGUGGAAGGUGGUCCGACCAGGAUAACCCCGGUGCCUAGCGUUUUUUUAACGCCUUGGCGUGUAAAUCGCCUUUCAGCGGCCUCUUUAAUUUGAUAUAAAAAAAUACAUCAGUCGGUGAAGUCACUAAUCG
rnacentral:lncRNA from 1 species